rnacentral:rRNA from 1 species
AGCAGCCGCGGUAAUUCCAGCUCCAAUAGCGUAUAUUAAAGUUGCUGCAGUUAAAAAGCUCGUAGUUGAAUUUCGGGACCGAUAUAUCGGUCGUGCCUCGGUACGUACUGGUAUUUUCGGUUUCUCCCUUCUGAUGAACCUUGAUGUCAUUAAUUUGGUGUCUUGGGGAAUCAGGACUGUUACUUUGAAAAAUUAGAGUGUUUAAAGCAGGCUCACGCUUGAAUACAUUAGCAUGGAAUAAUGAAAUAGGACGUUUGAUUCUAUUUUGUUGGUUUCUAGGAUCGGCGUAAUGAUUAAUAGGGAUAGUUGGGGGCAUUAGUAUUCAAUUGUCAGAGGUGAAAUUCUUGGAUUUAUUGAAGACUAACUACUGCGAAAGCAUUUGCCAAGGAUGUUUUCAUUAAUCAAGAACGAAAGUUAGGGGAUCGAAGACGAUCAGAUACCGUCGUAGUC